CCCUUAGAUGUCCUGGGCCGCACGCGCGCUACACUGACAUGUUCAACAAGCCUCCUAGUUCGACAGGAUUUGGGAAAUCUUUGAACGCAUGUCGUGAUAGGGAUAGAUCAUUGCAAUUAUUGAUCUUGAACGAGGAAUUCCUAGUAAACGCGAGUCAUCAGCUCGCAUUGAUUACGUCCCUGCCCUUUGUACACACCGCCCGUCGCACCUACCGAUCGAAUGUUUCGGUGAAGAUUCCGGAUAGGACUUUUUUGAUUUAUUUCAAUUUUGUCUUAAAUCUAUCUAAACCUCAACAUUUAGAGGAAGGUGAAGUCGUAACA
rnacentral:rRNA from 1 species